GGUCAGCGGCCACUGCACCCCGCCUCCACCAGCUUAAACUCCAGAAGGAGGCCGCGCACCCAAGGCGUGCUAACUGGCUGGCUGGGAAGAGGUGAGCAUCUACAGAGAAACCCACUGCUGCCCGCAGCGGUGUCAGGCAGCCGGGGGUCUCCCCGCAGUGGCGCAAAGCGGACUGAAGUCGGGAGUGGCUAGGACCCUGCGCUGCCACGGCGGUGCUCUCGGCCAACGCACUCGUGUGCCCUCCGCCCGCCCACACCAGCGUCGCUUAACGGAAGAAGGCGCGAGUAGCAGCGGCGCAGCCAGAGCACCUGGGGGUGACACAUGAGUGGGCGGGCGGUCCAGGGAGCCCCUGCUGGAAACCAGACGCUAAACCUUGCAGCUGUGCAGCUAAGGGAGCAUCUAUUUUCCACUUGAGAGCAACCUGGGCAAGCGAGAACGGCCCGAUUUCGGUGCAGGGGUGCAUCCCGAGGGGGCGGGGGGCUGUUUCUGCGCGGACAGGCGGACCGAGCAGGGGAAACCGAGGCCACGCUGGAUCCGCAGCCCCGAGGUGUCCACUAGAGCUCCGCUCGCGCGAGGGCGCGACGCGAGGCUGCCCGCGGGACCGGCCUGCGGUGCGAGCGGCCAAUGAGUGGAUAAAGAAAAUGUGAUAUAUAUACACUAUGGAAUACUACUCAGCCGUAGAAAGGAACAAAGUAAUGGCGUUGGCAGCAACCUGGAUGGAGUUGGAGACCAUUAUUCUAAGUGAAGUAACUCAAGAAUGGAAAAGCAAAUAUUGUAUGUUCUCACUCAUAAGUGGGAGCUAAGCUGUGAGGAUGCAAAGGCAUAAGAAUGAUAUAGUGGACUCUGGGAACUCGAGGGGUGAGGGAUAAAAGACUACACAUUGGGUACAGUGUGCACUGCUUGGGUGAUGAGUGCACCAAAAUCUCAGAACUCACCACUGAAGAACUUCCCCAUGUAACCAGAAACCACCUGUUCCACAAAAACUAUCGAAAUAACAUUUUUUAAACUUUAGUAUUUCUGGGUGAAAUUUACAUAGAUUUCUCAGAAAAAAAAUAUUUAGAACUGAGGUAUCUAUUAGAGAACUGAGUUAAAUUAUUACCACUUAAAAACACAGAAAGUGGUAUAGCCACUUUAUGAAUUUAUCAGUUAGCAAUGGCUAGGUUAAGCUUAGUGGUUUAUAACCAAAUCUUAGUAGUUUAUAAUAACAAAUGUGUAUUGUUAAUUCCCACUACAAAUUUAUCAAGACAUUGCUGGAUGCUACACUCCAUGUCUCUUUGUGGGACCCAGGCUCAUGGGACUUCCGUUGUCUGCAUUAGAGAGAAAGAGAAGUCAACAAAACAUGCACUGGUUCUUGAAGCUUUGGCCCAGAAGUAAAAUAUAUGUUCUCUGUUCACAUUGCAUUGGGCCAAGGAAAUUAUCGUGGCCGCAAGUGACUUCAAAAGGAUGGGGAAGUGCAAUCUUGGCAUUGUCAGAAGAAAUGAAAACAUUUAGUGAAGAGCAUUAAUGACUGUCUUUACAGGAAAAAAACAGAAUCAAAUAGACAUGAUUUCUUGUUUCAGUUUCAUCAUUUCCUACUGUGUUACCUAAACUUUCUGAGCCUCAGUUUCUUAUUACUAAAAUAGAAUAAUGAUAAAGAUGAUAUUCACUUCAAGGACUUUGUGUUAACUAUGGUAAAAAAAAAAAAAAAUUGAAAACUGUAGCAAGUUAUGCAAAUUAGAAAUGUAUAAUAUUACUGCUUUGAAAGUGAUGAUGAAAUGUAGAAUAAUUGAGAGGAUAACGCAAAGCACUUAUACCAGGAGGCUUUUAGCUGCAGAUAAUAGAAAUGAACUUCCACUACUUUAAUCAAUAAAAAAGUGUGUUGGCUCACAAAUUUGUCAUCCAGACAUAAAGGAGGAUUCAGAAUUUAUUGACUCAGGAGUUGGAUGUUAGUAUCGAGGACCUAGAUUUUUCUCAUCUGCACUUCAGUUCUCAGUGCCUGAUUCAACAUGGCAUUUGAAGAUGGCUAGAGUGAUUCCAGGGAUAACAUCUAGAGAGAAAAAAGAGAACUCCUUUUCUUACGAUUUUUCUCUUAAGAGAAAAGGAACUUCCCAAAAGCCCCCAGCAAGCAUGCCUUCACAUCCCAUGGCCAGAAGUGGCUCACAUAUGUACCCUGAGCUAAGCACUGCAAACAGGAAUGGGAUUGCCUGUAGGCCUCGGAGAUCACCUGGAUCUUGGGAAGGUGUCAGCUCUACCUGUGGCACUUGGCUGAGUGGGAAAGGGAUGGAAACAUGAAUAAAGUAAGAAUUAGGAAGGAAAAGGAGAUAUGGAUCCAGGGUAGGAAGCCAAUAGUUGUAGUUAUCUCAAACAAAUAUGAUUGAUUUCAUCUUUAUGAAUGUGAUGACCUAAUUUAAUACAUUCAAUCAAUGAAGUAAAAGAAAGUGCAAGGACAAUAUGACAUCUGUCAUUCUCUGUUGAGAUUUGAGAGAUAAUACCAAGAACGUGUGGUGACCUGGGUCCUCACUGCUACUGUCUUUCUGUACCUGGACACUUCCUAGCAAGAGACUUCAACUUCAGAACAAAGAGGAUCCCAACUUGUAACUGCAUUAUACACCCCAGCCGCACACAUAAGUUGCUUUCUAAUUAUUCCUCUUUAAGAAAUUGUAGAAUAUUUAUCUAUGUAUAAAUGAAAAAAUAGAAAAUUAAAAUAACAAAAAUAAGUAA